GAUGAACGCUAGCGGCAGGCUUAACACAUGCAAGUCGAGGGGCAGCAUGACACGGAGAUUCGUCGAAGUGUUGAUGGCGACCGGCGCAAGGGUGCGUAACGCGUGAGCAACUUGCCCGUUUCUGGGGAAUAACCGGUGGAAACGCCGACUAAUACCCCAUAGUAUUGGAUUUAGGCAUCUUUAUCCAAUUAAAGAAAUUCGGAAACGGAUAGGCUCGCGUGACAUUAGCUAGAUGGCGGGGUAACGGCCCACCAUGGCGACGAUGUCUAGGGGUUCUGAGAGGAAGGUCCCCCACACUGGAACUGAGACACGGUCCAGACUCCUACGGGAGGCAGCAGUGAAGAAUAUUGGUCAAUGGACGAGAGUCUGAACCAGCCAAGUAGCGUGCAGGAUGACGGCCCUCUGGGUUGUAAACUGCUUUAGUUGGGAAUAAAAGAGGGACGUGUCCCUUAUUGUAUGUACCAUCAGAAAAAGGACCGGCUAAUUCCGUG
rnacentral:rRNA from 1 species